rnacentral:rRNA from 1 species
UACGUAGGGUGCAAGCGUUAAUCGGAAUUACUGGGCGUAAAGCGUGCGCAGGCGGUUGUGCAAGACCGAUGUGAAAAUCCCCGGGCUUAACCUGGGAAUGGCAUUGGUGACUGCACGGCUAGAGUGUGUCAGAGGGGGGUAGAAUUCCACGUGUGAGCAGUGAAAUGCGUAGAGAUGUGGAGGAAUACCGAUGGCGAAGGCAGCCCCCUGGGAUAACACUGACGCUCAUGCACGAAAGCGUGGGGAGCAAACAGG